UUGGAAGCAGCCAUUCAUUUAAAGAGUGCGUAACAGCUCACUAGUCGAGGAGUUUGGCGUGGAUAAUAAUCGGGCAUAAGUAUUCUACCGAAGCUUUGGGAUGAGAAAUCAUCGGUAGGGGAGCAUUCCACUCUGCGUCGAAGGUGAAGCGCGAGCUUUGCUGGAGCGUGUGGAAAAGCAAAUGUAGGUAUAAGUAACGAUAAAGGGGGUGAGAAACCCCCUCGCCGAAAGACUAAGGUUUCCUGAUCAACGCUAAUCGGAUCAGGGUUAGUCGGGUCCUAAGGCUCAGCCGAACGGCGAGGCCGAUGGCAGAACCGGUUAAUAUUCCGGUACUACCUGUGGGAGUGACGUGGAGACGGAGUCGUGACAGCGCCGCGGACUGACGGAAUAGUCCGUUGAAGGGUGUAGAUGCUGAUUGUUCCAGGCAAAUCCGGAGCAAGAGUCGAACCUGACAGUAUGGAGCGUUCUUAGAACAAUCCAAUAGUGCGUGUAAUCAUACUUCCAAGAAAAUCCGCUAAACUUAAUCCUGCAGGUACCCGUACCGCAAACGGACACACGUAGUCGGGUUGAAUAUACUAAGGCGCUUGAGUGAUUCACGGUUAAGGAACUAGGCAAACUGACCCUGUAACUUCGGGAUAAAGGGUCCUCGCUUUAAGGCGAGGCGCAGAGAAUAGGUCCAGGCAACUGUUUAACAAAAACACAGGGCUGUGCAAAAUUGAAAGAUGAAGUAUACAGCCUGACACCUGCCCGGUGCUGGAAGGUUAAGAGGAGAUGUCAUCGCAAGAGAAGCAUUGAAUUGAAGCCCCAGUAAACGGCGGCCGUAACUAUAACGGUCCUAAGGUAGCGAAAUUCCUUGUCGGGUAAGUUCCGACCUGCACGAAUGGUGUAAUGAUCUGGACACUGUCUCAACCGUGAGCUCAGUGAAAUUGUAGUAUCGGUGAAGAUGCCGAUUACCCGCGAUGGGACGAAAAGACCCCGUGAACCUUUACUAUAGCUUAACAUUGAAUUUGGGUAAUUGAUGUGUAGGAUAGGCCGGAGGCUUUGAAGCGGGCACGCCAGUGUCCGUGGAGCCGCUGUUGAAAUACGGCCCUUUGAUUAUUUGAGUUCUAACCCGUUGUUGCGGGGACACUGUUUGGUGGGUAGUUUGACUGGGGUGGUCGCCUCCAAAAGUGUAACGGAGGCUUCUAAAGGUGCCCUCACGACGAUUGGUAACCGUCGGCAGAGUGUAAUGGCAUAAGGGCGCUUGACUGGGAGACUUACAAGUCGAUCAG
rnacentral:rRNA from 1 species